AUCAUACUCCCUCCGUCCGGAAAUACUUGUCCUCGAAAUGGUUGUAUGUAGACUUAUUUUAGUUAUAGAUACAUCCAUUUUAUCCAUUUCUAGGACAAGUAUUUCCGGACGGAGGGAGUACCAA
rnacentral:pre_miRNA from 1 species